UAUGGCGUCGAAGCGCGAAAUCUAUGAUUAAAAAACAUCUCUUUACGUUUGCACGAAGAUUUGCCAAUUUCAUCUUCAACAACCAACUUCAUUUACAAUUCAGUUCUAAAAUGAGCGCUCAAGCAGCAAAUGCAACGACAAAGGCUGCCAUACGUCAGCGUAUAUGGGACUACAUAGAAAAGAACGAUCUGGCAAAUUUUCCACGACCAGUCCACCAUCGAAUCCCAAAUUUUAAAGGAGCGAAUGCAGCGGGAGAAAAAGUUGUUGCUAUGGAAAUAUUCAAGAAGGCAAAGACUGUCAAAGUAAACCCAGAUAAACCGCAAGAAUGGGUUAGAUACAAGACACUGGAAGAAAAGAAAUUGCUCUUAGUUCCUACCCCACGUUUGAAAACUGGAUUAUUUAACCGUAUUGUCCCUCCACCCGGUGCUGAUACUGCAAUGCUAAAGAGAUGUGCUACCAGGGAAGGUAUCACUAAUUACAGCACUCCUGUUGGGCUAGAACACAAGGUCAACAUUGAUCUUAUUGUAAUUGGAUCUGUGGCAGUGUCCCCAAAAGGCUAUAGGAUAGGUAAGGGUGAGGGAUAUGCUGACAUGGAAUAUGCCAUGAUGGUUACCAUGGGAGCUGUCAAUCAAGACACUGUCGUAGUCUCCACUGUCCAUGACUGCCAGGUGGUGGAUAUUCCAGAGGAUCUUACCGAUGGACAUGAUCUUAUGGUAGAUUACAUUGUGACACCUACAAAGAUAAUCAUUUGUGAAGGUGAGAAGCAGAGGCCAACUGGAAUACAGUGGUCAAAAGUUACACCUAAGAUGCUGAAGGAAAUCCCAGUCUUAAAAGAUCUCAGAGAGAAGGAGAGAAGGCUUGGUAGAGAUGUGACUUUGAGGGAGUAAUUCCUCAACACCUGAAAGAUUGCAACAGCACAUGUUCAAAAGGACCAAACNAAGUGAAAAGAGAAUAGACAGGUGGGACCAAUAAAGGCAUCCCUUUCUCUGUGCUGGCUUCUUUCUCAAGGUUUGUAUCAAACAGAUUAAUUAUCGAUUGUGAAAGUCGGCAGAGGGUUGACUGUUUCUUUGUUUGUUCAAUAGAUAUGAAAGAUAUUUAAGGGUACUUCGGUUUUCCAUGUUUCAGAACAAUGAUAUUUUAUUAUUCAAUAAAUUAUUAUGUGGUACACAAAUACUGUAACCAAGCUGAAUAAACUGUUACUUGUCUUACAUUGAAAGACAGUUUAACUAA